rnacentral:snoRNA from 1 species
GCAAGAUUCUCUUUGAUGAAAAUGUUUCCCAUCUCUAGAGCAAACUGUGGGUCCUAAUCACUGCCCAGCCUCCAUGCCUGUAGGCUGCUGACACUGAAGUGGGUCACACAGUG